rnacentral:rRNA from 1 species
AGCAGCCGCGGUAAUUCCAGCUCCAAUAGCGUAUAUUAAAGUUGUUGCAGUUAAAAAGCUCGUAGUUGAAUUUCGGGGUCAGUAGGCUGGUCGUGCCACAGGUACGUACUGGUCUCACUGAUUCCUCCUUCCUGAUGAACCGUAAUGCCAUUAAUUUGGUGUUGCGGGGAAACUGGACUGUUACUUUGAAAAAAUUAGAGUGUUUAAAGCAGGCUAACGCUUGAAUACAUUAGCAUGGAAUAAUGAAAUAGGACGUUCGAUCCUAUUUUGUUGGUUUCUAGGAUUGACGUAAUGAUUAAUAGGGAUAGUUGGGGGCAUUAGUAUUCAAUUGUCAGAGGUGAAAUUCUUGGAUUUAUUGAAGACUAACUACUGCGAAAGCAUUUGCCAAGGAUGUUUUCAUUAAUCAAGAACGAAAGUUAGGGGAUCGAAGACGAUCAGAUACCGUCGUAGUCUUAACCAUAAACUAUGCCGACUAGGGAUCGGAUGAUGUUAAUUUUUUAAUGACUCAUUCGGCGCCUUACG